CGCUCCUUCAGUCUUGCCUGGUUGGAUCCACUGUGUGGCAUUCUUAUACUACAUUUGUAUCCGCUGCAAGUCUUAAGGAUUAGUUGUGUAUAUUUCUGUCUGCCCUUUGAUUGAGGAGAUCAGAUCUAGCAGGAUGGACAAAUCUGCUUCAUCCGAGUAAACUCAUAUCUACACCUCUCCUUGCAGCACAUACUCGAUCUGAUCAGUGGAUUUCAGUUCUAGUAAGGGAAUCUGAAGGCUCUGUCUUGACGACUGGCUCGAAAUGUUCUGAAAUCUCUUCGACACUUUGGAUUAUCCAAUCAGUUGCUUUUGGUCUCCAUUAAGCUCUCAGUGUAUCGAGAUCUUAAUAGUGGAUA